AUGAAGGAAAGCACACGAUGCAGAAAGGACGAUGUUCUCACUUAUGGGAUGCAGUUUAAGUCAUUUUUUGACGCCUGUCCAAAGGCAUUCAGUGGUCUGGCAAGACUCAAGCUAGAAAAUUUGAGGCUAGCUGAAUCAUCGGGCUUCCCUGAAAUUCUCAGUGUAUGCAAGCAACUGGAGUUCCUCCGCCUGUAUAACUGCGACAUGGGGUACCUUUCUUUGCUAGAAGUGUCACACCCACUACUCUGUGAACUCGAGAUUGUCAAGUGUGAUUUUGAGAGGGUUGAUCUCGUGUGGCUACCAAAUCUCAAAAUGCUGACUUAUUCUUGGUGGGUCUGUGAGCAUGAUCCUUUGUCUUUUGAUUAUGUCCCACUGCUCCAGACUCCGAGCCUCACCAGUAUGGCUCACGGCACAAGGUGCUCAAGUUAA
rnacentral:rRNA from 1 species